rnacentral:misc_RNA from 1 species
AACCUUCAACCCCCGGGUUUCCGGGUGGCUUGGAUUUGGGUGUUGCCUCCCUGGCUCGCCUUAAAAGACUUAGUGGGAUAAGCCAUUGCUUGACGUAAUAAGUUUCGUCUGGUCUUGUGCCGACUCUUGCUCACAACAAGCCAUAUUUUGUG